rnacentral:rRNA from 1 species
UGAGGAAUAUUGGUCAAUGGGCGAGAGCCUGAACCAGCCAAGUCGCGUGAGGGAAGACUGCCCUAUGGGUUGUAAACCUCUUUUGUAAGGGAAGAACCGACAUUACGUGUAAUGUUUUGCCAGUACCUUACGAAUAAGCAUCGGCUAACUCCGUGCCAGCAGCCGCGGUAAUACGUAGGUGGCAAGCGUUGUCCGGAAUUAUUGGGCGUAAAGGGAGCGCAGGUGGAUCGUAAAGUCUUGUUUAAAAGAGCGGGGCUCAACCCCGUUAGGGACAAGAAACUUAAGAUCUUGAGUGCAGGAGAGGGAAGCGGAAUUCCUAGUGUAGCGGUGAAAUGCGUAGAUAUUAGGAGGAACACCAGUGGCGAAGGCGGCUUCCUGGACUGUAACUGACACUGAGGCUCGAAAGCUAGGGUAGCGAACG